UACGGGGGGGGCAAGCGUUGUUCGGAAUUACUGGGCGUAAAGGGCUCGUAGGCGGCCAACUAAGUCGGACGUGAAAUCCCUCGGCUUAACCGGGGAACUGCGUCUGAUACUGGAUGGCUUGAGUUUGGGAGAGGGACGCGGAAUUCCAGGUGUAGCGGUGAAAUGCGUAGAUAUCUGGAGGAACACCGGUGGCGAAGGCGGCGUCCUGGACCAACACUGACACUGAGGAGCGAAAGCCAGGGGAGCAAACGGG
rnacentral:rRNA from 1 species